ACGAACGCUGGCGGCGUGCUUAACACAUGCAAGUCGAACGGAAAGGCCCUGCUUUUGUGGGGUGCUCGAGUGGCGAACGGGUGAGUAACACGUGAGUAACCUGCCCUUGACUUUGGGAUAACUUCAGGAAACUGGGGCUAAUACCGGAUAGGAGCCCCUGCUGCAUGGUGGGGGUUGGAAAGUUUCGGCGGUUGGGGAUGGACUCGCGGCUUAUCAGCUUGUUGGUGGGGUAGUGGCUUACCAAGGCUUUGACGGGUAGCCGGCCUGAGAGGGUGACCGGCCACAUUGGGACUGAGAUACGGCCCAGACUCCUACGGGAGGCAGCAGUGGGGAAUAUUGCACAAUGGGCGAAAGCCUGAUGCAGCAACGCCGCGUGCGGGAUGACGGCCUUCGGGUUGUAAACCGCCUUCGCCUGUGACGAAGCGUGAGUGACGGUAAUGGGUAAAGAAGCACCGGCUAACUACGUG
rnacentral:rRNA from 1 species